AAUCCCCGCAGGCGCUGGGUCUGCAGAUGGCGUCCAGGUACACAGUGGCGAGUGUGAUUCCGCAGUCUUGGGCUGUUUGGCCAAGCGCCCGCCGGACAUGGUACGCCGAAGGGUCAUCGGCGUGGAGUCCUCGCUUUCAGCGUCCGCGGCUGGGAAAUCGGCCAUCGCUACGGCGGGAACUGGGACUCGGGCUGCGUCCCGGCCCUUCCACAUCGGUCCACCGCACUCGUGGGCGCCCGCAUUGGUGCUGACAUAAUUUCCUGACCUCUGACCCGUAUUGUCUCGCGAUUAAAGGUCCAGAUUUGGAACAAAUCUCUCUAGAGAUUGAACAGAGCUGCGCCUGGAUCCCUCAGCAGUGAGGAGACCUGAAGACCAGAGGAAACACAGCAAACGGAGCCUUGCUCUGUUGCCCAGGCUGGUGUGUAGUGAUCUCAGCUCACUGCAAGCUCCACCUUCCGGGUUCACACCAUUCUCCCACCUCAACCCCCGGAGUAGCUGGAACUACAGCCUCCUGCCACCACGCCUGGCUAAUUUUUUUUUUGUAUUUUUAGUAGAGACGGGGUUUCACCAUGUUAGCUAGGAUGGUCUCGAUCUGCUGACCUCGUGAUCCACCCGCCUCGGCCUCUCAAAGUGCUGGGAUUAAAGGCGUAAGCCACUGCGCCUGGCUGUUUUUUCAUUUCUAUUAUGAUUUGUCCUGUGGAAUGUCAGUGACUUAGCGGUAUUUUUAUCACACGUUUAUAAAGCUGAAUAGUUUUGUAUGUCAGCUCAGCACCCUUAGUGUCAGCCAUGCUAGUCUCCUGCUGUGCAUAGAUCGAGGCCUGUCCAUACCCGAAUCUCCUGGGUUCCCACUGUCAGCACCUGAAGGUACCCACCAGAUGUGUCUGUCACUUCCCUACAUCCACCUCUAUUGUGGUUCUCAUGUUUCUGCCUCCCUAGAGACCAUUUCUCUGUAGAGCAGCGCUUUCGAAUAGAAAUACAAUGCCAGACACAUAAGUUGUUUUAGAUUUUCUAGUAGUCACUUUAGAAAAGUUAAAAAGAAACAGGUGAAAUUAAUGUUUUAUUUCACCUAAAAUGUUAGCAUUAUCCAAAAUAUCACUUCAACAUCUUAUCAAAAUAAAAUUAUUAAUGAGAUUGGUUACCGUUCCGAUAAAUAGGUGAACUGAGAGCAUACACAGUAGUAUUCUGUUCUAAUUUCUGCUUCACUGUGAGUGUCUUGACAUAGUCUUAAAAGAGUAUUGCUGUGAAAUAUUAUACAUGUAACUCAUAACCUCUACAAUUCUGCAGUUGUAAUUGGUUGUCUUACCUAAUAAUCAGUUGCUUUGCUUCAUAAUAUUUAAAUUGGCAUCUCUAUUUUCCAAAAGGCAUAAAUACUAGUAUAGUUUUUUAGUUAAGCCAGGAGAAAGUUCACUUUAUUUACAUAACUUAUACGUAAAAAUUUAAUAAAUCUCCCUGCUUCUUUUCUUUUGCAUCAUAACAACCACUGAAAAUAAUAUUUCUAUGGCAGUUGGGGGUAAAUGGACAAUAGCUUUUGUGACCAGAGGUGAAUGGCCCAGGGUCUCCAGCACUCCAGGUCCCACUGAGCCUGCCCCACAGCUGAGGGCAUCGGUAUUUCCACACACCUAUAAUGUACAGUGCCCCAGAACAGAGAUCGGAUGCUCUGCUUUAUUCAGAUGGGGUGUUGAGAGUAUUGUCAUUGUAAUUGAAUUAGUAAGUAAGUAUUUAUACACUGUUAAAAUCUGGUUGGAUUUGUGUCCCUUCACAAAACAAAUUGCUUAAAUGAAACCACAGAGUUAACAUAAUUGACUACAUCUGCUUCUAUGAGCUGC
rnacentral:lncRNA from 1 species